UCGGGAAUUUUGGGCAAUGGGCGAAAGCCUGACCCAGCAACGCCGCGUGAGGGAUGAAGUAUUUCGGUAUGUAAACCUCGAAAGUAUGGGAAGAAUAAAUGACGGUACCAUUUAUAAGCUCCGGCUAACUACGUGCCAGCAGCCGCGGUAAUACGUAGGGAGCAAGCGUUGUUCGGAUUUACUGGGCGUAAAGGGCGCGUAGGCGGCGCGGUAAGUCACUUGUGAAAUCUCUGAGCUUAACUCAGAACGGCCAAGUGAUACUGCUGUGCUAGAGUGCGGAAGAGGCAACCGGAAUUCUUGGUGUAGCGGUGAAAUUCGUAGAUAUCAAGAGG
rnacentral:rRNA from 1 species